rnacentral:piRNA from 1 species
UGGNGAAGAGACGAUGCUACAGCGGAGGC